ACAUGAUUCAUCAUGUGAAUUGUGGAAGAAAAGAAUUCGUUAAGCAAAGAAAUAACUUUCAUAUUUUGAAGGAUGCUAACCGACAUUCAAAGCAAAUGAAUUCAAGAACAGAUGUGAGUGAAAAUCAUCCACGAGAGCCCCAAAGCGAAAAUCAUGCAAUACCUGAUUUCAUUUACUUUGAUGUUGGAUUCAUUUUCCUAUAGUUCGGAAAUUGACAACCGGGAACUUAUAAUUUGAGUUGCGAGCGUUGCGGUUGCACUUUUUCACUAGGCUUUGGUUUAGGUUACAAUAUUUUUUUUUAUUUUCGAUUCUACUGAUAAAUAAAAGUGGUUUCACCCGUGAAUUGUUUGAAAUAGAGAAAAGCAAAUAAGUGUGUGAGUUAGUUAAUGGUAAAUAAACCUAUAGCAUUGUUUUUUUUAUUUGGUGUUGCCUUCUAUCAGGCAUUUGGCUGAGGCCCAUAAAUAGCAUUGAUUUAUUUUCAACGACACAUUUUGAAGCAAGAAUAUCGAUGGCUUACAAAAUAGUCCUUGCUCCAAUCAGUUUCGAUUACGUAUAAUGUUUCUGUAGCAUCCCCUGAACGGUGAAAUCCCGGUGGAAGCAUUUAUCAAGCAUAUAAACGAUUGAAAGGGACCAUCACUAAAAGGCAAGAUAGGGAUUACUUCAUACUACCUGUUGAAGAAGCCUGAAGUGUGGUGAUAUUCUAAUAAAAUAUCCCCACUAUAAAAAGGAGCUCGGAUAUCAACUGAUCGCUGAAGAUAACCGUGAUUUAGGAUACAAAGAAAUAAGAGCUAACUGGAAAAAUAUAAUCGACAAAUUAUGGACGUAUGUCAUAUUGAAAGUUCGAAGCCAGAACUCUUGUUGUGCUGGAAUUUAUGAAUCGUUCAAAUCAAUCUGAAGAUGCUCUCAUUUGUUGCUUUUUAAUUCAACUCACUAGGCUUUACACAAAAGCCUAGUAAAGUUACAAAGAUCAUGAGACCAGCAAUUCUAACCGCACAAGAGGAUGCGCUAAUGUGUGCUGGUAAUCUAGACUCUGCGCACGAGUCCAAUCAAACCACAUCCCAAAUAGUCGUCGUUGGAGAUGAUUAUACACCUCUACGAAGAGACAGUUCUAUGUGUGAAACGUAUACACAAAAAUUGACAGCUGUAUACCGAUUUUCAAGAUAAGUUUCAACCAAUCUACAUUUACACUUGAUUUUUGUUUUUCUUCAUUUUAGAUGCUCUCAUUUGUUGCUUUUUAAUUCAACUCACUAGGCUUUACACAAAAGCCUAGUAAAGUUACAAAGAUCAUGAGACCACAAUUCUAACCGCACAAGAGGAUGCGCUAAUGUGUGCUGGUAAUCUAGACUCUGCGCACGAGUCCAAUCAAACCACAUCCCAAAUAGUCGUCGUUGGAGAUGAUUAUACACCUCUACGAAGAGACAGUUCUAUGUGUGAAACGUAUACACAAAAAUUGACAGCUGUAUACCGAUUUUCAAGAUAUGUUUCAACCAAUCUACAAUUAAACGCUGCAUAGCAGCGAUAUAAGCAGGAACAUCGAUAUAAAACUGUCAUACGCACGAAUUAUAUACAACCCCUGACCUCCCGGUUACCAGGUUUAAGCUCAAAUUAUAAAACAAACAAAAAACAACGUGAUUGCGGCGACCAAAUUGAUUAACUAACACCGACCAGUCCCUAAGAGCAUCAAUCAGUAAACCUCGCAAAUAUCCUCCAUCGAAAAUGUCGAUGAUCUUACCAGUAUCCUAGGACAAUCAGGAAUUCAUCUUGAAGCGUAGUGGCGUAAGCAAGCUUUUGACACACUUGAGGGCAACCGGAUAUUUGAAAGCCAAACGUGCUGGAUGUGGCUCACAAUAAACCAUCCUUAUUUAUAUCAGUAAAAGCUAACGGCAAUUUGCGUCGAUAAUAAUAUCUUUGUUACCGCUUUAAACCCACUGGUGUCCCCUGCUAGACCAUAAGUGAAGGCGACAUUAAUCGGAGGAGAGAAAAAAAAUUAAGGCACACCUAUACACCUAUACCUGGAAUCAAAUAUGUAAAAACAAACAAGAAUCUGCAACGGAAUUUGCUCAGAGAUACAAAACGGAAAAGUAACAAAAACUAUCAGUUUAUUAUCAGGAAAACCUUUUAGAUUAUGUUUUCGACUUGAUUCCGUUAGGUUUAAGAAGAAGAAACAAAAAAUGUUCUACUAGUAUCAAAUCUAUAUCAAACUCUGUUACUAACGUAUCUAUUUCCUAACAUAAUGAAAUAGUAUAUAAAAUAGGCAACCAUUGUUAGAAAAACACGCUCUAAUAGAAUCGAGACUAUGUUUAACAACAACUUGAUUUCAGGACUUGUUAUCAGAUCUCAUUCAGAUUCAUGUUUGUUAUCAGAAGCAUUUGGCAAAAUACAAAAUCGAAUCAGAAUAUGAUAUUUAUAUCUCGUUCAGAUAUAAAGUAAUUCUUUUUAGUUGUGUUCUUCUGAUCAGGAAGUUCCAAACGAAAUUGGAAAACAUUUUGCAGCAUUUGUUGACGGUUGAGGCAGAGUUAUUAGCGUAUUAGCCCAACCAGUUCUGGUUCUGAUCAAUUGUUAGGCUAUUUAAAUUUUCGUUCUAGUUUGUUUUUGAGCGUAAAAUAUUAUAUUAUAAGAUUUUAAUUAAACUAAUUCUUACGUCAAAAAAUAGAGCCAAGGUAAAUAUAGUAGUUACUCGAGGCAUUAUUUGUAGACCGAGCAGCCUAAGACGUUGUUUAUUGAAAAGCUGUUCAGGCAUAAAAAAGAGUCACGGUAAACAUAAAUUUCAAUCUGAUUGCUAGGAGCAUUUGUUGUAU